UACGUAGGGGUCUAGCGUUGUCCGGAAUUAUUGGGCGUAAAGAGCUCGUAGGCGGUCUGUCGCGUCGGCUGUGAAAACUCGGGGCUCAACUCCGAGCUUGCAGUCGAUACGGGCAGGCUAGAGUUCGGCAGGGGAGACUGGAAUUCCUGGUGUAGCGGUGAAAUGCGCAGAGAUCCGGAGGAACACCAGUGGCGAAGGCGACACGCUGGGCCGUACCUGACACUGAUGCGCGACAGCAUGGGGAGCAAACAGG
rnacentral:rRNA from 1 species